ACGGACUUCACUAAAAUGUUAUACUAUCACUUUGCCCACUUUUACACAGGUAUAACAUUUGGACUAAUGUAGUUACAUUAAAAUUAUAUAAUACCCAAUUCCCUUUCUUUUUAUUCUCUUUCUUUUAUUCUUAACUAAUAACCCCAAUUAAACCUUUAAUAUGCAAAAUUCUAUUAUUUAUUACCACGGUGUCCACUGACAUUUGAAUGAUUCUUCCCCUAAUAUUAGAUUCCUUCACUUUCUAAACAAUUCAACUCAUUCCUUAUUAAAUUCUUAAACACCAAUUAGGAUAUUUAUUAAAUCUCAAAUCUCAUUCUCUCUUUAAUUAUACCUCUAAACAUUCUUUUUAGCUCCGUUUUAAUCGCUCAAUAUAAUAAAUCUAAAAUAACUUCCCAUCUAUCCUAUUUAUCUCUCCUUUUAAUAUAAAACCAAAUUCUUUUAUAAAUUCAAAUUAUUAUAUAAUUUAUUUCCUUUUAUUAACCCAAUUAUCAUAAGUCAAUCAUUUCUCUCCCAUUAUUUUCUUUUUAAUUCACUCAAAUCCAUCCUUUUAUAUUUAAUUCCCACAUUUUAUCAAUUUUAUUUGUUCUUAUUAGCACUCUCACUUUUCAAUUUACCAAAAUAUCCCCAUCUUCCCCAAACUCACCUUUCUCCCUCAUCCCUCAUCCUACUCUUUUCUCUCUCUCUCUCUCUCUCUCCCCCCUCUUCCGCGUCUCCCUCGGUUCCUACCACUCAACGCCACCAUCGGUGACCUCUCUCCGUCGCCACACACACACGGCUCACCCAUCUCACCCACACAACACACACAAAACCCCCACCUCAAUCUCUCUUUUCCCCUGCUGUCUCUCUUCUUCACCAUUAGUCGGUUGCGGUUUUUUUUCGGUUUUUCCACUAUUAUUUACUACUCUUGUGCAUAAUGAUUUUUUUAAAAAAAAUAUAAAAUUUUCAUGAACAUGUACAAUAUGUUCGGUUACUAUUUACUAUUGUUUCUAUAUGAGGAUAUAGGAAACAUUACAUACUUUCAUCUAAAAAAUCUUAAUACACAAUAAAAACUAAAACAUACAUAUUUUGAUAAGAAAUUAGAUGAUGUCAAGUCAAUAAAAUUACCCAAAAUCAACUAAUUAUGAAAUUCAAAUAAAAAGUUUUCAAAAAGUACAUAAAUAAAAAAGUAGAAUAGGUUUCAUAAUAAAAUUUGAUCAGCAGAUUAACAGCAGAAAUAUUUCUGCUUUGUGGCAAAUCACAAUAGCCCUAAGUUUCAAUCAAGCGCUCCACCAAAUAUUUGAGUGCCUGGUUAUUUAAGUGACUUAGCAAGUAUGCAAGUACGGGUCUGUGGAAGAAGAACCUCUAUAUAAAAUUAGAUGUGAAGUUUAAAAAUGACUAAGGUGCUUUAUUACUAUUAUUGAUAUAUAUAUAAAUAUAUUUAUAUAUAUAUAUUUCGGUUCGGUUAAUUUCGGUGCGGUUUUAACAUAAAACCGAAAAUAAAACCGCACCACUAAUUUCGGUUUUUUAUCUCGGUUAUUUUCGGUUUUAUUUGCGGUUUGGUUUUUUUUGGUGUGGUUUUUCGGUUUUUUUAGGUUUUUUUGCGGUUUCGGUUUUUUCUGCUCGCCCCUACCUCAUCCUACUCUUUUCUCUCUCUCUCUCUCCCCCCUCUUCCGCGUCUCCCUCGGUUCCCACCACUCAACGCCACCAUCGGCGACCUUUCUCCGUCGCCACACACACACGGCUCACCCAUCUCACCCACACAACACACACAAAACCCCCACCUCAAUCUCUCUUUUCCCCUGCUGUCUCUCUUCUUCUCGACCUUCCCCUCCGUUUUAACAUCGCCGUUACCCUCCGUCGGCAUCGUCGACGUGAGCUCCGGCCAGCCACCCCACACACUUACUGCUCCGAUGCCAACCACAAUUCCAAUAAUCAACAACCAUUAAUUCAAUACACUUCAUAUAUAACCCCCAAAUUGAUUAAGAGCUCUAAUUUAAUAUAUGUAUAUUAGAAUAUAUGUGUCAAUGGAUAGUAAUCGCAGGUGGGGUUAAGAAAAUGUGCUAUUAAAAUGAAUUUAUAUCUCAUAAAUGGUUAAUUUAAGCUAAAAGGGAGAUUAAUACCUUAAAAUAGAUUUUGCAGAUUUGAUUCUCUUCUGGUCAAAUCGCCAAUACCUCCGUAUUGCUUUUGUUUUGAUAAAAGAAGUACUGACUAAUUUCCUUGCUAUUUAUACAACAUUACUAAUUACCAUUAGUAUUUAAUCAUACUUUAGCACUUGCUAAUACUCCACUAAUCAUUUUUAAUUUAUUUGUUUACUUGGAGGCUACACAAUUUUUCUUGGGCGUUACUCAGUAGCCUUAGGCUCCAAGUUUCGAAACUUGGGGCUCAAGUCCCGCUACGUUAAAAAUAUUCCACGGCUUGGCUCGUUUAUUCUCGUUUCGGUUUUUGUCCGACAAAUAUUUAAAUAUUUUACAAAAAGAAUAAAUAAAUCAA
rnacentral:lncRNA from 1 species